ACUCAUGGUCCAGACUUUUUUCAAAUAGGACAUGUAGUUUGUCUGCAGCGAGUGUUUUGGUAGAAACUGCGCCUCCCAUUCAUUAUAAUGGGAAAUGACCACAGACAAGUGCGCACACCAUCUUUGGACCUUGAGUGUGACGCGAUCGGGAGGGGGAGGCGGUCGCACUGGGGGCGGCGCAACGCGGCUCGGGCCCGCCAGUGCCCCAACGGGGCCCUAGUUAGGGCCCGAGCCAGCUGCAGAGCAGCCGGGCGUAGGCCCUGUUAUUCCUGUAGGGGUUUUUCUUUAGGGCCCGAGCGUAGCUGCUAAGCAGCUGCGAGAGCCCUCUUGUUCCUGCAUGUUUCCUUCUUUUGUUAUUAUUAGGGCCCGAGCGUAGCUGCUAAGCAGCUGCGAGAGCCCUAUUAUUCCCCAAGUGGUUUUUCUUUGUUUCUUUCUUAGGGCCCGAGCGUAGCUGCUAAGCAGCUGCGAGAGCCCUCUUGUUCCUGUAGUUUCCUUCUUUUGUUAUUAGGGCCCGAGCCAGCUGCAGAGCAGCCGGGCGUAGGCCCUAUUAUUCCCCAAGUGGUUUUUCUUUGUUUCUUUCUUUCUUUCUUUCUUUCUUUCUUCUUUUUCCUCCCCUUUGAACUGGAAAAUGGCCCACUUCCCACUGGCGAAAACUCAUGAAAUUUGGCAGGACGACCGGGCCUGGUGAAAAAUUCGAUAUUCUGAAGUCGCCCAAACAAUAAAAUGCAAAAUGGCUCCAUAGCGCCCCCUAAGGUGGAAAUUCACACUAUUGACUGUCACGCCUGUACGCUUUGUCAUAUUGACACAAAAAUUGACACACAUAUGUAUCUCAAUAAGAUCUACAAAAAAGUCAGUGCGGCCGUAUCUGUCAAAAUUACGGUUAAAGGGUUAUUUCGCAUUUUUUGCCGAUCCGCACACAUUGGAAUUUCGCUAACUCCUCCGAAGGCUUUCGUUCCACCGGCACCACAUUUGCUCAGGCCAAUCUACACCCCAUGGCCAUUAAAAGUUAUCAAAAUCAUGACGCUGCACCCCAAGGUUUAGGUUCUAGGGGGCGCCAAAGAUAACACUAAAAUCCACAUAUUUAAAAGUCUUAUAACUUUUUAUUUUUGUCCUCACUGGCCUCCAAGUUUUCUAGGAUGAUGCAAUGUCCAGCCAUCAACACAUUUGUGAAGGAAUUUUUACUCCCCAAAAGAGCGCCCCCCCAUGGCAGGAGAAAAAAGUCCAUUUUUUCUUGUCCCCUAAGGUGAAAAUACACAUUGUUGAGUGUCACGCCUAUACGCUUUGUCAAAAUGACACAAAAAUUGACACACACAUGUAACUCAAUAAGAUCUACGAAAAAGUCAAUGCGCGCGUAUCUGUCAAAUGUACGGUUAAAGGGUUAUUCCGCAUUUUUUGCCGAUCCGCACACAUUGGAAUGUGGCUAACUCCUCCGAAGGCUUUAGUUCCACCGGCACCACAUUUGCUCAGGCCAAUCUACACCCCAUGGCCAUUAAAAGUUAUUCAAAUCAUGACGCUGCACCCCACGGUUUACGUUCUAGGGGGCGCCAAAGAUAACCCUAAAAUCCACAUAUUUAAAAGUCUUAUAACUUUUUAUUUUUGCCCUCACUGGCCUCCAAGUUUUCUAGGAUGAUGCAAUGUCCAGCCAUCAACACAUUUGUGAAGGAAUUUUUACUCCCCAAAAGAGCGCCCCCCCAUGGCAGGAGAAAAAAGUCCAUUUUUUCUUGUCCCCUAAGGUGAAAAUACACAUUGUAGAGUGUCACGCCUGUACGCUUUGUCAAAAUGACACAAAAUUUGACAUACACAUGUAUUUCAAUAAGAUCUUCGAAAAAGUCAAUAGCCACGUAUAUGUAAAAUGUACAGUUAAAGGGUUAUUUCACAUUUUUUGCAGAUCCGCACACAUUGGAAUUUGGCUAACUCCUCCUAAGGCUUUCGUCCCACUGACACCAAAUUUGCUCAGGCCAAUCUACACCCCAUGGCCAUUCAAAGUUGUAAAAAUCAUGACGCUGCACCCCACGGUUUACGUUCUAGGGGGCGCCAAAGAUGACCCAAAUAUCCACAUUCUUAAAAGAAUCCACACCCCCCCCCCAUCCCCCAUCCCCCAUGGCAGGAGAAACAGUCAAGUUUUUCCUUCCCAUCACUCAAUGGCUCAAUCGCAUCACUCUCCCGGCAACACCGUAACGAGGAGCAACUUGCCGUUUGGAUAUAUCCUAGCUGUGUUUGUGCCCUCACUCAUGGUCCAGACUUUUUUCAAAUAGGACAUGUAGUUUGUCUGCAGCGAGUGUUUUGGUAGAAACUGCGCCUCCCAUUCAUUAUAAUGGGAAAUGACCACAGACAAGUGCGCACACCAUCUUUGGACCUUGAGUGUGACGCGAUCGGGAGGGGGAGGCGGUCGCGCUGGGGGCGGCGCAACGCGGCUCGGGCCCGACAGUGCCCCACCGGGGUCCUAGUUAGGGCCCGAGCGUAGCUGCUAAGCAGCUGCGAGAGCCCUCUUGUUCCUGUAGUUUCCUUCUUUUGUUAUUUAUUAUUAGGGCCCGAGCGUAGCUGCUAAGCAGCUGCGAGAGCCCUAUUAUUCCCCAAGUGGUUUUUCUUUGUUUCUUUCUUUCUUCUUUUUCCUCCCCUUUGAACUGGAAAAUGGCCCACUUCCCACUGGCGAAAACUCAUGAAAUUUGGCAGGAUGACCGGGCCUGGUGAAAAAUUUGAUAUUCCGAAGUCGCCCAAACAAGAAAAUGCAAAAUGGCUCCAUAGCGCCCCCUAAGGUGAAAAUUCACACUAUUGACUGUCACGCCUUUACGCUUUGUCAUAUUGACACAAAAAUUGACACACACAUGUAUCUCAAUAAGAUCUACAAAAAAGUCAGUGCGGGCGUAUCUGUCAAAUGUACGGUUAAAGGGUUAUUCCGCAUUUUUUGCCGAUCCGCACACAUUGGAAUUUCGCUAACUCCUCCGAAGGCUUUCGUUCCACCGGCACCACAUUUGCUCAGGCCAAUCUACACCCCAUGGCCAUUAAAAGUUAUUCAAAUCAUGACGCUGCACCCCACGGUUUAGGUUCUAGGGGGCGCCAAAGAUAACCCUAAAAUCCACAUAUUUAAAAGUUUUAUAACUUUUUAUUUUUGUCCUCACUGGCCUCCAAGUUUUCUAGGAUGAUGCAAUGUCCAGCCAUCAACACAUUUGUGAAGGAAUUUUUACUCCCCAAAAGAGCGCCCCCCCAUGGCAGGAGAAAAAAGUCCAUUUUUUCUUGUCCCAUAAGGUGAAAAAACACAUUGUUGACUGUCAUACCUGUACGCUUUGUCAUAUUGACACAAAAUUUGACAAUCACAUGUAUCUCAAUAAGAUCUACGAAAAAGUCAAUGCGCGCGUAUCUGUAAAAUGUUUGGUUAAAGGGCUAUUUUGCAUUUUUUGCCGAUUUGCACACAUUGGAAUUUCGCUAACUCCUCCGAAGGCUUUCGUUCCACCGGCACCACAUUUGCUCAGGCCAAUCUACACCCCGUGGCCAUUCAAAGUUAUCAAAAUCAUGACGCUGCACCCCACGGUUUACGUUCUAGGGGGCGCCAAAGAUGACCCAAAUAUCCACAUUCUUAAAAGAAUCCACAUCCCCCCCCCCCCAUCCCCCAACCCCCAUGGCAUGGUUGUGCCCUCACUCAUGGUCCAGUCCUUUUCAAAUAGGACAUGUAGUUUGUCUGCGGCGAGCGUUUUGGUAGAAACUGCGCCUCCCAUUCAUUAUAAUUGUAAAUGACCACAGACAAGUGCGCACACCAUCUUUGGACCUUGAGUGUGACGCGAUCGGUAGGGAGAGGCGGUCGUGUUGGGGGCGGCGCGACACGGCUCGGGCCCGCCAGUGCCCCAACGGGGCCCUAGUUAUUAUUUUUCCUCCCCUUUGAACUGGAAAAUGGCCCACUUCCCACUGGCGAAAACUCAUGAAAUUUGGCAGGACGACCGGGCCUGGUGAAAAAUUUGAUAUUCCGAAGUCGCCCAAACAAGAAAAUGCAAAAUGGCUCCAUAGCGCCCCCUAAGGUGAAAAUUCACACUAUUGACUGUCACGCCGGUACGCUUUGUCAAAAUGACACAAAAAUUGACACACACAUGUAUCUCAAUAAGAUCUACAAAAAAGUCAGUGCGGGCGUAUCUGUCAAAUGUACGGUUAAAGGGUUAUUUCGCAUUUUUUGCCGAUCCGCACACAUUGGAAUUUCGCUAACUCCUCCGAAGACUUUCGUUCCACCGGCACCACAUUUGCUCAGGCCAAUCUACACCCCAUGGCCAUUAAAAGUUAUUCAAAUCAUGACGCUGCACCCCACGGUUUAGGUUCUAGGGGGCGCCAAAGAUAACCCUAAGAUCCACAUAUUUAAAAGUCUUAUAACUUUUUAUUUUUGCCCCCACUGGCCUCCAAGUUUUCUAGGAUGAUGCAAUGUCCAGCCAUCAACACAUUUGUGAAGGAAUUUUUACUCCCCAAAAGAGCGCCCCCCCAUGGCAGGAGAAAAAAGUCCAUUUUUUCUUGUCCCCUAAGGUGAAAAUACACAUUGUUGAGUGUAACACCUGUACGCUUUGGCAAAAUGACACAAAAAUUGACACACACAUGUAUCUCAAUAAGAUCUACGAAAAAGUCAAUGCGCGCGUAUCUGUCAAAUGUACGGUUAAAGGGUUAUUCCGCAUUUUUUGCCGAUCCGCACACAUUGGAAUUUCGCUAACUCCUCCGAAGGCUUUCGUUCCACCGGCACCACAUUUGCUCAGGCCAAUCUACACCCCAUGGCCAUUAAAAGUUAUUCAAAUCAUGACGCUGCACCCCACGGUUUAGGUUCUAGGGGGAGCCAAAGAUAACCGUAAAAUCCACAUAUUUAAAAGUCUUAUAACUUUUUAUUUUUGUCCCCACUGGCCUCCAAGUUUUCUAGGAUGAUGCAAUGUCCAGCCAUCAACACAUUUGUGAAGGAAUUUUUACUCGGCAAAAGAGCGCCCCCCCAUGGCAGGAGAAAAAAGUCAAUUUUUUCUUGUCCACUAAGGUGAAAAUACACAUUGUUGAGUGCUACGCCUGUAUGUUUUGUCGUAUUGACACAAAAUUUUACAUACACGUGUAUUUACAUAAGAUCUUCGAAAAAGUCAAUGGCCACGUAUCUGUAAAAUGUACGGUUAAAGGGUUAUUUCGCAUUUUUUGCAGAUUCGCACACAUUGGAAUUUCGCUAAUUCCUCCGAAGGCUUUCGUUCCACCGGCACCACAUUUGCUCAGGCCAAUCUACACCCCAUGGCCAUUAAAAGUUAUUCAAAUCAUGACGCUGCACCCCACGGUUUAGGUUCUAGGGGGCGCCAAAUAUAACCCUAAAAUCCACAUAUUUAAAAGUCUUAUAACUUUUUAUUUUUGUCCUCACUGGCCUCCAUGUUUUCUAGGAUGAUGCAAUGUCCAGCCAUCAACACAUUUGUGAAGGAGUUUUUUCUCUUUAAAAGAGCGCCCCCCCAUGGCAGGAGAAUAAAGUCAAGUUUUUCCUGUUCAUCAUUCAAUGGCUCAAACGCACUGCUCUCUCGGCAAAAGCGAAAGGAGGAGCAACUUGCCAUUUGGAUAUAUCUUAGCUGUGUUUGUGCCCUCACUCAUGGUCCAGACUUUUUUCAAAUAGGACAUGGAGUUUUUCUGCAGCGAGCGUUUUGGUAGAAACUGCGCCUCCCGUUCAUUAUAAUGGUAAAUGACCACAAACAAGUGCGCACACCAUCUUUGGACCUUGAGUGUGACGCGAUCGGGUGGGGGAGGCGGUCGCGCUGGGGGCGGCGUGACACGGCUCGGGCCCGCCAGUGCCCCAACGGGGCCCUAGUCUUGUUAUUAGGGCCCGAGCGUAGCUGCUAAGCAGCUGCGAGAGCCCUAUUAUUCCCCAAGUGGUUUUUAGGGCCCGAGCGUAGCUGCUAAGCAGCUGCGAGAGCCCUAUUAUUCCCCAAGUGGUUUUUCUUUGUUUCUUUUUAGGGCCCGAGCCAGCUGCAGAGCAGCCGGGCGUAGGCCCUGUUAUUCCUGUAGUGGUUUUUCUUUGUUUCUUUCUUUCUUCUUUUUCCUCCCCUUUGAACUGGAAAAUGGCCCACUUCCCACUGGCGAAAACUCAUGAAAUUUGGCAGGAUGACCGGGCCUGGUGAAAAAUUUGAUAUUCUGAAGUCGCCCAAACAAGAAAAUGCAGAAUGGCUCCAUAGCGCCCCCUAAGGUGAAAAUUCACACUAUUGACUGUCACGCCUUUACGCUUUGUCAAAAUGACACAAAAAUUGACACACACAUGUAUCUCAAUAAGAUCUACAAAAAAGUCAGUGCGGGCGUAUCUGUCAAAUGUACGGUUAAAGGGUUAUUCCGCAUUUUUUGCCGAUUCGCACACAUUGGAAUGUGGCUAACUCCUUCUAAGGCUUUCGUCCCACUGAAACCAAAUUUGCUCAGGCCAAUCUACACCCCAUGGCCAUUCAAAGUUGUAAAAAUCAUGACGCUGCACCCCACGGUUUACGUUCUAGGGGGCGCCAAAGAUGACCAAAAAAAUCCACAUUCUUAAAAGAAUCCACAUUCUCCCCCCCAUGGCACGAGAAAAAGUCAAGUUUUUCCUGCCCAUCGCUCAAUGGCUCAAUCGCAUUGCUCUCCAGGCAACACCGUAAGGAGGAGCAACCUGCCAUUUGGAUAUAUCCCAGCUGUGUUUGUGCCCUCACUCAUGGUCCAGACUUUUUUCAAAUAGGACAUGAAGUUUGUCUGCAGCGAGUGUUUUGGUAGAAACUGCGCCUCCCAUUCAUUAUAAUGGGAAAUGACCACAGACAAGUGCGCACACCAUCUUUGGACCUUGAGUGUGACGCGAUCGGGAGGGGGAGGCGGUCACGCUGGGGGCGGCACGACGCGGCUCGGGCCCGACAGUGCCCCACCGGGGCCCUAGUUAUUAUUAGGGCCCGAGCGUAGCUGCUAAGCAGCUGCGAGAGCCCUCUUGUUCCUGAUGGAUUCUUCUUUCGUUAUUUUUCCUCCGCUUUAAACUGGAAAAUGGCCCACUUCCCACUGGCGAAAACUCAGGAAAUUUGGCAGGACGACCGGGCCUGGUGAAAAAUUUGAUAUUCUGAAGUCGUCCAAACAAAAAAAUGAAAAAUGGCUCCAUAGCGCCCCCUAUGGUGAAAACUCACCUGAUGCCUGUACGCUUUGUCAAAAUGACACAAAAUUUGACACACAUGUGUAUCUCAAUAAGAUCUACGAAAAAGUCAGUGCGGGCGUAUCUGCCAAAUGUACGGUUAAAGGGCUAUUUCGCUUUUUUUGCCGAUCCGCACACAUUGGAAUUUCGCUAACUCCUCCGAAGGCUUUCGUUCCACCAGCACCAAAUUUGCUCAGGCCAAUCUACACCCCAUGGCCAUUAAAAGUUGUACAAAUCAUGAUGCUGCACCCCACGGUUUACUUUCUAGGGGGCGCCAAAGAUAACACAAAAAUCCACAUACUUAAAAGUCUUAUAACUUUUUAUUUUUGUCCUCACUGGCCUCCAAGUUUUCUAGGAUGAUGCAAUGUCCAGCCAUCAACACAUUUGUGAAGGAAUUUUUACUCCCCAAAAGAGCGCCCCCCCAUGGCAGGAGAAAAAAGUCCAUUUUUUCUUGUCUCCUUAGGUAAAAAUACACAUUGUUGAGUGUCACGCCUAUACACUUUGUCAUAAUGACACACAAUUUGACAAUCACGUGUAUCUCAAUAAGAUCUACAAAAAAGUAAAUAGGCACGUAUCUGUCAAAUGUAUGGUUAAAGGGCUAUUUCGCAUUUUUUGCCGAUUCGCACACAUUGGAAUGUGGCUAUCUCCUCCUAAGGCUUUCGUCCCACCGAUACCAAAUUUGCUCAGGGCAAUCUACACCCCAUGGCCAUUCAAAGUUGUAAAAAUCAUGACGCUGCACCCCACGGUUUACGUUCUAGGGGGCGCCAAAGAUGACCCAAAAAUCCACAUUCUUAAAAGUCAUUUUGGCCACUGCAGGAGUACAGAGUACUGCAGUUCAAGGGGGCGCCAAAGAUGACCCAAAAAUCCACAUUCUUAAAAGUCUUUUUGGCCACUGCAGGAGUACAGAGUACUGCCGGACACACACACAUAUACACACACGCCACACACACACACACACACACACACACACACACACACACACACACACACACACACACUCAGAGUCUGUUUUUUAGCACCUGCAAAAACAUGCUGUUUACAUAUUUGACAAGAAUGCAGAGGCUUCCUUUUGCCCCUGAAAAAAAUCAAAUUUCAAACACAACUUGACUGUUCAUUUCUCCAAAAGACAACCAUGAAGCUCCAUCCAAACCUGAAGCAGAUAGUUGAUGCAUGUGUACAGUAACCUGAGGAGAGUGAGGUGACUACUUCUGAGGAGAACAUGAGCAGUGAAGAUUCACCUUGGAGCUAGAACAGGGACGUGCACAUGAUUAUACAGGGGCAGGGGCUCAAGUUUUUUCCAGUCAUUUAUACAAUAUGGAAAUUAAUGUGAAAUUAAACCACAAAUAUGUGUGAUGAACUGUUUUUAAAACUUAAACUUCAAAUAAAAAUUGUAAACUUCAAAACAUAUGCAAAUUUUUAACAAAGAACAUAGUAAUUUACCUCUAUUUACAUCAAAAUGCAGGCAAUGGCCCAGGCGUUCUUUGUAAAAUUAUUUACAAAACACUGUAUAGUCUCACAAAUGUCACUUUUUAUUUAUGCCACUACAAAAAAACAUGAUGUAAAUGAUGCAUGAUGUAAAACAUGAUGUAAAAAACUUGUGUAGAUCCUCCUCUAUGUCAGUCCAUGUGUAAUUUUUCCAUAAUUCUUUGUUUUUUGCAGCAUUUUUGUUAGUGUAACUGCAGAUUGUGCUGACAGUGUCUAUGGCAAAAAAAAAAAAAAAACUGAAAAUGCCUCAACAUGAACUCCUGGUGGUCUCUGAGGGUGAAACCUGCUAACUGUGCAGCUCUCUCAGCUCUAGUCUCCCAUGCAGAGCUCGGAGCGCAUGUGUGGCUCUGCACCCUUAGCAGCGUUGCUAACUCCUCAGUAAGGAAAGCCUUACGGCCCGAGCGACACAGCUCGGGCCCGCCAGUGCCCCAACGGGGUCCUAGUUAGGGCCCGAGCGUAGCUGCUAAGCAGCUGCGAGAGCCCUAUUAUUCCCCAAGUGGUUUUUCUUUGUUUCUUUUUUCUUUUUCCUCCCCUUUGAACUGGAAAAUGGCCCACUUCCCACUGGCGAAAACUCAUGAAAUUUGGCAGGACGACCGGGCCUGGUGAAAAAUUUGAUAUUCUGAAGUCGCCCAAACAAUACAAUGCAAAAUGGCUCCAUAGCGCCCCCUAAGGUGAAAAAUUCACCUGACGCCUGUACGCUUUGUCAAAAUGACACAAAAAUUGACACACACAUGUAUCUCAAUAAGAUCUACAAAAAAGUCAGUGCGGGCGUAUCUGUCAAAUGUACGGUUAAAGGGUUAUUCCGCAUUUUUUGCCGAUCCGCACACAUUGGAAUUUCGCUAACUCCUCCGAAGGCUUUAGUUCCACCGGCACCACAUUUGCUCAGGCCAAUCUACACCCCAUGGCCAUUAAAAGUUAUUCAAAUCAUGACGCUGCACCCCACGGUUUAGGUUCUAGGGGGCGCCAAAGAUAACCCUAAAAUCCACAUAUUUAAAAGUCUUAUAACUUUUUAUUUUUGCCCUCACUGGCCUCCAAGUUUUCUAGGAUGAUGCAAUGUCCAGCCAUCAACACAUUUGUGAAGGAAUUUUUACUCCCCAAAAGAGCGCCCCCCCAUGGCAGGAGAAAAAAGUCCAUUUUUUCUUGUCCCAUAAGGUGAAAAUUCACACUAUUGACUGUCACGCCUGUACGCUUUGUCAAAAUUACACAAAAAUUGACACACACAUGUAUCUCAAUAAGAUCUACAAAAAAGUCAGUGCGGGCGUAUCUGUCAAAUGUACGGUUAAAGGGUUAUUGCGCAUUUUUUGCCGAUCCGCACACAUUGGAAUUUCGCUAACUCCUCCGAAGGCUUUCGUUCCACUGGCACCAAAUUUGCUCAGGCCAAUCUACACCCCAUGGCCAUUAAAAGUUAUUCAAAUCAUGACGCUGCACCCCACGGUUUAGGUUCUAGGGGGCGCCAAAGAUAACCCUAAAAUCCACAUAUUUAAAAGUCUUAUAACUUUUUAUUUUUGUCCUCUCUGGCCUCCAAGUUUUCUAGGAUGAUGCAAUGUCCAGCCAUCAACACAUUUGUGAAGGAAUUUUUACUCCCCAAAAGAGCGCCCCCCCAUGGCAGGAGAAAAAAGUCCAUUUUUUCUUGUCCCAUAAGGUGAAAAUACACAUUGUUGACUGUCAUACCUGUAUGCUUUGUCAUAUUGACACAAAAUUUGACACACACAUGUAUCUCAAUAAGAUCUACGAAACAGUCAAUGCGCGCGUAUCUGUAAAAUGUACGGUUAAAGGGCUAUUUUGCAUUUUUUGCCCAUUAGCACACAUUGGAAUGUGGCUAACUCCUCCUAAGGCUUUCGUCCCACUGACACCAAAUUUGCUCAGGCCAAUCUACACCCCAUGGCCAUUCAAAGUUUUAAAAAUCAUGACGCUGCACCCCACGGUUUACGUUCUAGGGGGCGCCAAAGAUGACCCAAAUAUCCACAUUCUUAAAAGAAUCCACCCCCCCCCCCCCCAAUCCCCCAUCCCCCAUCCCCCAUCCCCCAUGGCAGGAGAAACAGUCAAGUUUUUCCUGCCCAUCACUCAAUGGCUCAAUCGCAUCGCUCUCCCGGCAACACCGUAAGGAGGAGCAACUUGCCGUUUGGAUAUAUCCUAGCUGUGUUUGUGCCCUCACUCAUGGUCCAGACUUUUUUCAAAUAGGACAUGUAGUUUGUCUGCAGCGAGUGUUUUGGUAGAAACUGCGCCUCCCAUUCAUUAUAAUGGGAAAUGACCACAGACAAGUACGCACACCAUCUUUGGACCUUGCGUGUGACGCGAUCGGGAGGGGAAGGCGGUCGCACUGGGGGCGGCGCAACGCGGCUCGGGCCCGCCAGUGCCCCAACGGGGCCCUAGUUAUUAUUAGGGCCCGAGCCAGCUGCAGAGCAGCCGGGCGUAGGCCCUAUUAUUCCCCAAGUGGUUUUUCUUUGUUUCUUUCUUUCUUUCUUUCUUUCUUCUUUUUCCUCCCCUUUGAACUGGAAAAUGGCCCACUUCCCACUGGCGAAAACUCAUGAAAUUUGGCAGGACGACCGGGCCUGGUGAAAAAUUCG